CUUCUUCUCCGGAAGCCCUCAUUUAUUUUAUCUGAAAGUUUCCUAAAGCAGCGGGCGUUUCUUUCAUUUCCCGGACCACAGCGCUGGUUGAACGUGCCUCAUGCGCCACCUUUUGGACUCGGAGAGAAAAAACACCUGCAGGUGCGAUUCAUCCUUCAAAAUCAGAUGUUUGGAAACGAGAAUCAGUCAGCGCACUUUGGGCCUUGUGAUUUUUGAAGUGCAAAGAUUUACGACCGACACCUACUCACAGGUUCCAGGGGCCAGAUAAUAAUCCAGAUUCAUACAAGUGACCAACCUGCC